CCCCUCUCAGGACCGCAUCUGGAGAGUUUCCAGUACUCUUACCAGUCUCAGCUACGGGAGGGAGAGUCGAGCAGAGGCAUACCCAUUCCAUUCCUAGCUUGGGCAGUGGCUAGCCAGUGGAAGGCAAUCUUCCACAAGU